AGGGAACUUAAUUACAUAUUUAUU
rnacentral:piRNA from 1 species